rnacentral:misc_RNA from 1 species
AUCAAAAUGAUAUUAUUGAUUCAGUAUAGUUGGUUAGCCAACCAGAACUGCCAGGAAAUGAUUAGGCAAGCUACAAUAAAUUUUAAAAAACGUAAAAUGAAUGAAUUUGAGAAGCAUAAUUUCCCAAAAAAACAAUUUUUCAAUGAUGGUUCAUUAUCUUCCACUAAUAUUUAACCAUUGUGAGGAAAAAAAAAAUGUUAUUUUUCAUCAGCAGUAGCACUUGCAGAACUCAGGUCCACAGAAAGAUCAAGAGCCUGAAACAUACAACAAUGAAAAUAGUGAGUUAAUGGCAAUUUGCAAGCUAUCUGCAACGAACUUAAAGCUUUUCUCUAUACGAAAACUUAGCUAGACUUAGUUCAUUAUGGACUCAAUACACAAACAUUUGAUCCUACUUGAGUUUCACUAUACAUGAUGCGUCUUGGAUCUAUCAUGGACAGGGUCUAGAGAUAAGAAGGCUAAAGAGGUUACCUUUCCAGUAAUCUUACUGUACAUUGCAAUCACAUCAUCUACUGUGGUCUCAAAAUGAGUUGUUGCAUCAUAACUCUGCAAGAUUAAUUUAAUCACUAUAUAUUAAAAUGUCUAGUAAAACACAUAUUAAAAAGCCAGAUUCUGGUUUUGCAGUAGUAGCUAAUCUGGAUGCACAUAACACGGAAUGGGGAACUGGGGAAGAACUGUUAGCUCUCAAAACCUCGUAUCGACAAGCAAGCUUAUAUUAUCCCCUUUCAUUUGCAUUAGAUGAGUAUAAUAGCUACUAAAUCAUGAUAGUUCAAAUGUUGUGCCUAUUCUACUUACUGUAGAUAUGAAGCAGUGAUCGACUUCAGAAUUGUUCGUAGGUACAUAUCUGUCAUAAGUGUCAUAGAAUAUUUCAUCUACAGGGCCAAGCAAGUCGAUUCCUGGCUUCAAUUCUACCUCAGGUUUGUCGGUCUCCGCUUCAGUUGAAACGAAAGCAAUAUAUUUUCCCCUUGGGGCAACAUUGUGGGAAUAAGAACAACAGAAAAGGUACAUAUCUGAUUGACGACCGAGUUGCUUCUGUGGUAUAAUAAGCUGGACUGAGUGAGAAUCACUAGUGUCUGGAAUAGGAUGGCUCAUUAUACAUAUAGCGCGAGCAACUUUUCCAACCUUCUGAACCUUGUCAGGUAAAUAUGAUGGAUCACAAACAAUUUUCUUGCAUUUAGCAGUCUCUCCUUCAGAAGUCACACCAAUGGCUUUCCCAUCUGCAUCAAACUCCACCUUGCAUUCUGGCUUGUUAAGCAUGUAAGUUCCACCAUAUACUGCACUUAAGCGUGCAAAUGCCUGAGGCAGUUCUCCAAGUCCAUACAUUGGGUAGAUAUAAGGUGAUCCUCCUUGAUAACGUGCUAACGAUUCCGCAUAGAGCUUCAUUCUCUUCACAAAAUCCAGAGCUGGCUGAUCCAAGUAAAUAUCAUCUAGGUGAAGUGCCAAUGCAUGACCGAUAAAGUCAAUUGUAUCAUCUUCUAACCCAUAUUUUGAAAUAAUCUCUCUUGCUGUAACUUUUGUCAAGUCUAGGCCUUCAUGAGAUUUUGGAUCAUUUUCUUCAUAGUCUUGGACAUAAAUGAAGAAUUUUCGAGCACGACGCUUCUCAAACAAUCCCAUCAAGGGUGACUUCAGUGCUUCAACAUCAUUUGCUGGGACUUUGUAGAUCUUGCCUUUAUUGUACACAAAACUACCAUCAACAGCCUUGAAGUUAAGAUAUUUGGUAACAUCAGUAUGGAUGAGAACACGAACCAAAUUUCCAUUGGCAAUGAUGAACUUAGGUACCAUAUCAACAUUAUACUCCUUACUUGUACCCAAACUUUCUGGAGGCUUUUCAUCACUUCCCCUAAAUCGCUUCCAAAGCUGAUUAAGAUUAAGAGAGGUUGAUUCUCCUCCAUAAUAAUCAUUUUGAUCCAUAUGCAAAACCUUGAGUCCAUCAACAGAAAGAAGGCCACUGAGAAUGCAUUCCUUGAGACCAGUACCAAGAACUAUCACAUCAUAUUCUUCAUCCAUGGUUAAUUAAUUAAUUUGCUAAUUAACCCACAAUCAAUCUUAAUCCAAAAGAGAGAUUGAUCGGAUAGAUCAGAGCUCUAUGUCUACGGAAAGGAAAUAGAAAGAUUGGGUAAUUUUCUGUGUUGGGUUGAUCUUGAGCAGGUCUUUAGCGG